UUCCAUUUACAUAAAAUGUCCAGAAUAGGCAAAUCUGUAGAGACAGAAAGUAGAUUAGUGAUUGCCUAGGGCUGGAGUGAGAAUAAGGGGAUGGGAGUUGAGGGGGAAUGGGGAAUGGGGAGUGACUGCUAAUGGGUAUAGGGCUUCUUUUUGGGUGAUAAAAAUGUUGUAAAGUUGAUUUGGGUAAAGGUUAUACAACUCCAUGAAUAUGCUAAAAAGUAUUACAUUGCACAUUUUAUUUAUUUAUUUUUAUUUUUAAAAAAAUAGAGACAAGGUCUCACUAUGUUGCCCAGGCUGGUCUCAAACUCCUGAGCUCAAGCAAUCUUUCCACCCUAGCUUCCCAAAGUGCUGGGAUUACAGGCAUGACAUUGUAUAUUUUAAAUGAGAGAAUUAUAUCUCAAUAAAGCUGUUUUAAAAAGAUAUAUAACCACAUAAAAUAUCAAGUACUCAUGAUUUAUCUAAUAAAAGACUGCAAGACUUCUACAUAGAACACUAUAACAUAUUAUUGUAAGAAACUGCAGAACUAAAUAAACAGAGAGCUAUGUCAUGAUCAGACUUAGAAGACUCAGUAAAGUUGUCAUUCUCUCUCCAAUUGUUCUAUAGAUUCAUUUCACUACCAGGUCAAAGACACAAUCAAAAGCCCGACAAAUGGAAUUUGUGGAAUUGGAACAAAAAGCUUUUCUUCCUAGGCACAAGAACAUCAAAGCAUAAAUCCUUCAGGUAUCAGCAAUGACAUCACUUAAGAAUUUCUCAGAAUCUUUGGCACCACCCCAGGCCUACCGGAUCAGAAUCUGAAUUUUUUAACAAGAUCUCAGAUCUAGUCAAGAGUCCAGUCUGAUUUCUCUUUAUUGGGACUACCACCCAAAGCAGAAUGAGGAUGAUGUAACCACGCCCAGUGACUUCUGGAUACCACUGACUCUAGAUCCUGAAUUCCAGCAGAAUGGCUGACACCAACUGGUCUGAAGACCCUCACCAAGGAACUGACUCAGUGCAGGAAUGCAGUUUCUUCAUCUCCCUAUCCCUGACUUCACCCCUCACUUCUCAACCAAUCAGUGAUCACCACACUUUAGGCCAUCACCUGUGUCCAGACCCCUUAAAAACCCCAUCUGCAAACCUCUUGAAGAGGCAUAUUUGAGGUUUCCUCUCAUCUCCUCAUUUGGUUUCCCUACAAUUAUUAAAUUCUUUCUCUGCUGCAACUCCUACUUUUUCAGUGUAUUGGUCUGUUACUGUGCAACAGGAAAUCAGACCUGGUGGUCCUAUAGUAAGAGUUCACAGAAUAUGAUAUACAAAGUGAUCUGUGAUAUACAAAAACCGGCACAAUCUCACUCUUAAUAAGAAAAAUUCAACUUAAAAUUAAAAGUUUUUUUUCCUCAGAAUGGCAAAGAUCAAAGUUUGAUAACAUGGUUGGAAAGUAUGCAGACCGAUAUUCUCAUAUUCAUUGAUGAAGUGUAAAUUGAUACAUCCUUUGUCAGUACGGACAGGUUUCCCAACUCUAGGGGUGAAAUUUAUACAGACUACAGUGUGAAUGACAACCACUUCAAAUUGGGUGAUAUGAUGACCUUGACUCUGUGGAGGGUCAUUUGGCAAAAUAUCUCAAAAUAAAAAUGUACAUACAAUUUGACUCAGUGAUUUUGCUUUCUGGAAUGUUUCCUGCAUGUGUGAAUUUAUAUAUGUACAAUGAAAUGCUUCACAAUAGAACAUUCUUCAGCCAUUAAAUAGAAUGAGGCAGUUCUAUAGAUUCUCUAUUGGAAUGAUCUCCAUGAUAUCCUGUUUAGUGGGAGAAAGCAAGUUGUGGAAGAGGAACUUUAAU
rnacentral:lncRNA from 10 species